AUGACCUCUUUUAAGGACACCUGCUACAUUGACAUUCUGCCUAUCAACCAGAAGUCAAAAGGAGUAAUUUUCUUGAGCUUUUGGGCAGAGGUACACUACAAUUCAAUUUAUUUUCAAGGAGAUACAACUUCUAAUGAGCACCGAAAGAAGAAAAAGUGGUGGAGUUUUGGGAAUAAGCACUAGAUAUGGCUAGCUCUUGUGCGCUAAACGUCCUAUGUGUUAUUUGCUGCAAUGGCGUGAUCUUCUUGGCGCAAGGCCUUCUUGUAUUAUAUUUUAUAAACAUAAAAUUUAAGCUGCAAGUCUUUUAUGGGUAAGUUUAUAAUCGCAUUGUAUUGUUUUUUUUUUUAAGUUGUCUAGUCUCAAUUUUGCAGGCAUGCUUGACCUUUCUUCAGAAAAAGAGAGGAAAUCAAUCGCAAU
rnacentral:misc_RNA from 1 species